GUUUCAUGCCAUAAAAACAGGGGCAAACACCAAUUCAUUCUUUUUCACUGAGCACACAAUAUUAUUAAAACACCAACGUUGUUUAAAAGUGUCUACGUCUCCAAUGUGUUUAUAAAAGCGGAACUCUAGCCAGAGCCUGGCCCUGAUAUUCACCAGCCACACUGCCCUGGCCUCCUGCCCCUCUCUGUCCUUCACUCUGGCCUUCCUGCUUAAAUAAAUGGCCAUUUUGGCUUCCCCUGAAAGAUAGUUGAGGAGCUGCCACUUUUCUUUUUCUGCUUUCUUGUAGGCAGCUCCCAUGAUAAAAAUCUUUUCAGUAAAAACCACAUUAAAAAGACUAAAAACCGAUGUUAAAAGAGAGAAGAAACUCGCAAGUCUCUUGCACUCUGUAAAAACAUGAUAAAUAGUCUCUCGGAGGUCACAGAAGGGGCAUUUGCUCAGAACAGUGGGAUUAAUAACAGAAAUAAAAGCGUUGGAGGCGACAGCACCGUGUAAAAUUCUCCACUGGAGGUCGGCAGUCCGUUUCUUGAGGGGAGGCUUGUAUAAAAUCCUCCACUGUGGGCCCGGUCCAUUUUGUCCCAGUCUGUUGGACCACACACACCCCUUGUGGCACCCAGUGUAGACCCCCCCAAAAGAAAUCCACCAUUUUCUUCUGUAAGUUGGCGAGGAAGCCUGAGGGAGGGUCCAGGCAGGUAAGACGGUGCCACAGCUGGGAUGCAAUCAGGUUGUUUAAAACCAAAACUCUACCUUUAAAAGACAUUUGAGGGAGCAGCCAUUUCCAUUUGGAAAGUUUCCCCUCUAUCUUCUCUGUGACGCCCUCCCAGUUCUUCUGGACGAUGCUCUCUUGUCCCAGAUAAAUCCCCAGGUAUUUAAAUCCAUCUUUCCUCCACACUAGGCUUUGGGGAAGAACUGGGAGGCCGCCACGCCAUUCACCGACAGCGAGGGCUUCACUUUUUUUCCAGUUCACCCUCGCUGCCGAUGCCUUACUAAAACUUUUCACGAUGUUAUUUAAAAGGUCUGCAUCCCUCUGGUCUUUAAUAAAAACAACAACAUCGUCGGCAUACGCCGAUAAAAUCAUUCUUCUACUAAAACCAGGUAAAACCAGGCCCUCCAGGCUAGAGCGUAUUUUGCAGAGAAGGGGUUCCAGGGAG
ensembl:lncRNA